rnacentral:pre_miRNA from 1 species
AGUGGAAUAGCUGGGUCAAAUGGUGGUUCCUUUCCAUGUUUUCUAAGGAAUCCUAUACUGCUUUCCAGAUUGGUUGCACCAAUUUGCAGUCCCAAUAACAAU